GAUGAAGAACGUAGCGAAAUGCGAUAAGUAAUGUGAAUUGCAGAAUUCAGUGAAUCAUCGAAUCUUUGAACGCACAUUGCGCCCGCCAGUAUUCUGGCGGGCAUGCCUGUUCGAGCGUCAUUACAACCCUCAGGCCCCCGGGCCUGGCGUUGGGGAUCGGCGGAGCCCCCCGUGGGCACACGCCGUCCCCCAAAUGCAGUGGCGGUCCCGCCGCAGCUUCCAUCGCGUAGUAGCUAACACCUCGCGACUGGAGAGCGGCGCGGCCACGCCGUAAAACACCCAACUCUUCUGAAGUUGACCUCGAAUCACGUAGGAAUACCCGCUGAACUUAAGCAUAUCAAUAAGCGGAGGA
rnacentral:misc_RNA from 1 species